rnacentral:rRNA from 1 species
UGGUAAUGCCGGAUGUUCCAGUUGAUCGCAUGGUCUUCUGGGAAAGCUUUCGCGGUAUGGGAUGGGGUCGCGUCCUAUCAGCUUGACGGCGGGGUAACGGCCCACCGUGGCUUCGACGGGUAGCCGGCCUGAGAGGGCGACCGGCCACAUUGGGACUGAGAUACGGCCCAGACUCCUACGGGAGGCAGCAGUGGGGAAUAUUGCACAAUGGGCGCAAGCCUGAUGCAGCGACGCCGCGUGAGGGAUGGAGGCCUUCGGGUUGUAAACCUCUUUUAUCGGGGAGCAAGCGUGAGUGAGUUUACCCGUUGAAUAAGCACCGGCUAACUACGUGCCAGCAGCCGCGGUAAUACGUAGGGUGCAAGCGUUAUCCGGAAUUAUUGGGCGUAAAGGGCUCGUAGGCGGUUCGUCGCGUCCGGUGUGAAAGUCCAUCGCUUAACGGUGGAUCCGCGCCGGGUACGGGCGGGCUUGAGUGCGGUAGGGGAGACUGGAAUUCCCGGUGUAACGGUGGAAUGUGUAGAUAUCGGG